rnacentral:tRNA from 1 species
UGGGUCACUAGCUCAGUAGGUAGAGCACUGGACUUUUAAUCCAGGUGUCUCGGGUUCGAGCCCCGAGUGACUCAU